UACGAAGGGACCUAGCGUAGUUCGGAAUUACUGGGCUUAAAGAGUUCGUAGGUGGUUAAAAAAGUUGGUGGUGAAAGCCCAGAGCUUAACUCUGGAACUGCCAUCAAAACUUUUUAGCUAGAGUAUGAUAGAGGAAAGCAGAAUUUCUAGUGUAGAGGUGAAAUUCGUAGAUAUUAGAAAGAAUACCAAUUGCGAAGGCAGCUUUCUGGAUCAUUACUGACACUGAGGAACGAAAGCAUGGGUAGCGAAGAGG
rnacentral:rRNA from 1 species